AUACGGAGGAUCCGAGCGUUAUCCGGAUUUAUUGGGUUUAAAGGGUGCGCAGGCGGCCAUUUAAGUCAGCGGUUAAAUCGUGGGGCUCAACCCCAUUCUGCCGUUGAUACUGGGUGGCUUGAUUGCGGUCGAGGUUGGCGGAAUUCGUUGUGUAGCGGUGAAAUGCAUAGAUAUGGCGAAGAACACCGAUUGCGUAGGCAGCUGGCCAGACCGCAAAUGACGCUCAUGCACGAAAGUGCGGGGAUCGAACAGGAUUAGAUACCCUGGUAGUCCGCACAGUAAACGAUGAAUGCUUGUUUUCGGCGAUAUAAUGUCGGAGGCAAAGCGAAAGCGAUAAGUAUUCCACCUGGGGAGUACGCCGGCAACGGUGAAACUCAAAUGAAUUGACGGGG
rnacentral:rRNA from 1 species